rnacentral:lncRNA from 1 species
ACACUGUAAAUGUUAGUCAUGGAGGAUGUGUACCAACAUAGAAGAGUGUUUACAAUGUAUCUUUAGAGAAAAGGUAGACUAUCCAAGUAUGCAUACUGGGAUUAUCACUAGAUUACCACACAUCUGGGUGAGGAGCAGAACAGAGACAUAGGUAACAGCAACCGUGAACCUCAGAGGCAGCCAAGGGUCGGAGUGCAAUGGCAUGAUCGCGGCUCACUGCAGCCUCUACCUCCUGGAUUCAAGCGAUUCUCCUGCCUCAGCCUCCGAGUAGCUGGGAUUACAGGUGCCCACCACCACGCCCAGCUAAUUUGUGUAUUUUUAGUAGAGAUGGGUUUCACCAUGCUGGCCUUGAACUGCUGACUUCAGGUGAUCCACCUGCCUCGGCCUCCCAAAGUGCCGGGAUUACAGG